GAGGGUAUAGCUCAGUGGUAGAGCACAUGCUUACAUGGACAAGGUCCUGGGUUCAAUCCCCAGUACCACCA
rnacentral:tRNA from 1 species